ensembl:snRNA U6 U6 spliceosomal RNA
GUGCUCGCUUCAGCAGCACGUGUACUAAAAUUGGAACGGUACUGAGUGGAUUAGCACGGCCCCCACGCAAGGAUGACACGCAGACUUGUGAAGCGUUCAAUAUUAAA